UAAAAAAACGGGAAAAUGUAAACACGAAUGUAUUGUACUACGCAUAGCUAUAAUAUACGACUCGACUGACUCUAGACGGGGAAUUUCCGUACAAAAAAAAAACUAAUGAUACGGAGUUACAUACAUGUUUUUUCAUAGUACCUUCGAUAAUCUAACAUAAUAAUGGCUUUAAGAAAUUCGCAGGAUGAAGAGUUCAACCACUCGCUAGAAACGAAGAAGUUCGAAGAUUGCAACUUCAAUACACACCGCUACCGCGAAAACUACGACUUAGAAUCAGCAUUUUAUAAAAUGAAGCAGCAAGAAUAGUGAGCAUUGUUACUGGGGCAAGGAACUUCCAACAGACGUUGAAAUAAAAUCCGGGUCGUACGCCAGUCAUUAAUUCGAUGUCGUCGUUAAAUCUGCGAAGUUUUACAGGAACGCCUUAAGUGCGAGCUCUGCUCACCUGGGAACUGAUUAAUGGCUUCUGUAAAAGCAAUGAAAGCCAGGCCUGGGCCAGAGGCACUCUGCUGUAGCUCCUCUUCCAAGUU